rnacentral:rRNA from 1 species
AGGUUAAGUUGUUAAGGGCGCACGGUGGAUGCCUUGGCACUAGGAGCCGAUGAAGGACGGUACUAACACCGAUAUGCUUCGGGGAGCUGUAAGUAAGCUUUGAUCCGGAGAUUUCCGAAUGGGGAAACCCACUGUUCGUAAUGGAACAGUAUCUUUACCUGAAUCCAUAGGGUAAUGAAGGCAGACCCGGGGAACUGAAACAUCUAAGUACCCGGAGGAAGAGAAAGCAAACGCGAUUUCCUGAGUAGCGGCGAGCGAAACGGAAGAAGCCCAAACCAAGAGGCUUGCCUCUUGGGGUUGUAGGACACUCUAUUAGGAGUUACAAAGGAACGGGGUAAAUGAAGCGGUCUGGAAAGGCCCGUCAUAGAAGGU